GAUGAAGAACGCAGCGAAAUGCGAUACGUAAUGUGAAUUGCAGAAUUCAGUGAAUCAUCGAGUCUUUGAACGCACAUUGCGCCCCCUGGUAUUCCGGGGGGCAUGCCUGUCCGAGCGUCAUUGCUGCCCUCAAGCACGGCUUGUGUGUUGGGCCUCCGUCCUCCUCCCGGGGGACGGGCCCGAAAGGCAGCGGCGGCACCGCGUCCGGUCCUCGAGCGUAUGGGGCUUCGUCACGCGCUCUUGUAGGCCCGGCCGGCGCUUGCCGACACAUCAAUCUUUUUUCCAGGUUGACCUCGGAUCAGGUAGGGAUACCCGCUGAACUUAAGCAUAUCAAUAAGCGGAGGA
rnacentral:misc_RNA from 1 species